rnacentral:tRNA from 1 species
UCCCUGGUGGUUCACUGUUUAAGACUCCGCGCUCCCAAGGCAGGGGGCCUGGGUUCAAUUCCUGGUCAGGGAA